rnacentral:tRNA from 2 species
GUGGCUGUAGCUCAGUCGGUAGAGCCCCGGAUUGUGAUUCCGGUUGUCGUGGGUUCGAGCCCCAUCAGCCACCCCA